rnacentral:rRNA from 1 species
UACGUAGGGGGCAAGCGUUGUCCGGAAUCAUUGGGCGUAAAGAGCGUGUAGGCGGCCCGAUAAGUCCGCUGUGAAAGUCCAGGGCUCAACCCUCGAAUGCCGGUGGAUACUGUCGGACUAGAGUACGGAAGAGGCGAGUGGAAUUCCUGGUGUAGCGGUGAAAUGCGCAGAUAUCAGGAGGAACACCAAUUGCGAAGGCAGCUCGCUGGGACGUUACUGACGUUCAGGUACGAAAGCGUGGGUAGCAAACAGG